rfam:Ciona savignyi cont_10663, whole genome shotgun sequence.
UCUGCGAUGGCCGAGUGGUUAAGGCGUUGGACUCGCAAUCCAAUUGGAUAUUCUCGCUCAGGUUCCAAUCCUGUUCGCAGCG